AUACGGAGGAUGCAAGCGUUAUCCGGAUUUAUUGGGUUUAAAGGGUGCGUAGGCGGAUGAUUAAGCGUGAGGUGAAAUGCCACUGCUCAACAGUGGAACUGCCUCGCGAGCUGGUUGUCUUGAAUGCUCCUGCCGUGGGAGGAAUGUGUGGUGUAGCGGUGAAAUGCAUAGAGAUCACACAGAACACCGAUUGCGAAGGCAUCUCACGAAGGGGUGAUUGACGCUGAGGCACGAAAGCGUGGGGAUCAAACAGGAUUAGAUACCCUGGUAGUCCACGCAGUAAACGAUGAUAACUAACCGCUGGGUCGUAGUGAUUCAGUGGCCAAGCGAAAGCGAUAAGUUAUCCACCUGGGGAGUACGACCGCAAGGUUGAAACUCAAAUGAAUUGACGGGG
rnacentral:rRNA from 1 species